AAUGUCUUUAACUUAUCUAACCCUAAGUCCUAAAAAACUAACACUUAACUUAAGUUAAGACCUCAUCAGUGUCAUCACCUCAAUACUUCACUAACUUCAGUUCUGAGUUCUCUGAGUUCUGCACUUCUGCUUCACGCCUUCACCGUCAUCGGCCACCGCUUCACGCCGCCUUCACCUUCACCUUCACCUUCACCACUUCACUUGAAGGUACAUUCCUUAAUUAGUUCCUACCAAACCAAGGUUACCUCUUAUCCUUCGAAAAUGUUCAGGCUAAAGAAGUCGCCCUUGCAUCGGAGUUCUAGGAAUUCAAUGGUUAUUCUACUUGCAGGCAUAUGAGAAGAAGACCACUCCAAAAUGGCGUUAUGAUCUUGAUCGAAAGAGGCAUUUUGAACAGGUUAGUUGAGUUUGGAAGAGAUUGUCAUUUGUCUGCUUUUACCAAGGUUGCUCUCAGUUGCAAGGUGAAAAUUGAUGCAUCUAAUGUAGCAUUAUGAUCUAAAUUAUAGAUAAAAGUUAUGUAGAAAGGUACAAGAUCAAAGGAGGUAAUCUCUCUUUUUGACUUUUUUGAAAUUGGUCAUGUUGCAAGGGAGGUAAUCUCUUUUACCAGGUGCUAUCCAUGUUCUCCAUUUUUUUUAGUCUGUAUGCUAUCCAUUUUUUUUGAAUCAACUUCUGAAAAGUGAGGACACCAUAUAAAGAAGUGGUACAUUGAUAGAAAAGCUUGGAGCCAAAAUUGAUUAUAGCUUGGAGACAAGAUAUUGCAUGAAAUCUCAGUACCAAAAUACUGAAAAGAGAGUUCUAUAAGGCUACUUUUUAAUACACAUACUAUUUUGUUCUGUUUUUCUAUGAUUUUUUAAGGGUUGCAGUGAGCACAGUUGAUCCUUCAUGUUGAGUUAAUCAUGCAUGUGCUUCUGUGCUUGUGAAACAUUUUCUGAAAUUGUGUAUACUGACUAGGAGACAAAGAUACAGUGAUGCUCUAAUCAGUUCCAAGAUCAGGUUGUGGUGUGUGACUUUUCCCUUUGUCAGCUCCUAAAGGAUACAGUGAUGCUUCUAAACAGUUUCUGGCUUUCUGCAAUGUUAGGAUUUUCAUCACUGGGGUUAUAUGCGUCGUUGAAGUUGGGAGAUUUUGAAUAAGCCAUAAUGUACAUAUUUUUUAUAAUUAGUUUGAGACUCAGUUGUCUACUUGUAUUUGAUCCAUUGUUUAGUUUGUUAUUAAAAUUCUUCA